GGGCGGGCGGCGGGCGGAAGGCAUCACUUUGUCCGGACUCUAAUUCAAAUUGUAUUCAUCCGAUCUUCACCAAACUUGGUCAGCAGUUGCAUCUAGUUGAUAUCUAGGCCAAGUUCGAAUAUGGGUCAUGCCGGGUCAAAAACUAGGUCAUAGGGUCAAUAAGUGCAUUUUCAAAGGGGCCACUUUGUCCGGACUCUAUUUCAAAUUGUAUUCAUCCGAUCUUCACCAAACUUGGUCAGCAGUUGCAUCUAGUUGAUAUAUAGGCCAAGUUCGAAUAUGGGUCAUGCCGGGUCAAAAACUAGGUCAAAGGGUCAAUUAGUGCAUUUUACUUUGUCCGGACUCUAAUUCAAAUUGUAUAAAUCUUGCCACUUUGUCCGGACUCUAUUUCAAAUUGUAUUCAUCCGAUCUUCACCAAACUUGGUCAGCAGUUGCAUCUAGUUGAUAUAUAGGCCAAGUUCGAAUAUGGGUCAUGCCGGGUCAAAAACUAGGUCAUAGGGUCAAUUAGUGCAUUUUCAACGGCGCCACUUUGUCCGGACUCUAAUUCAAAUUGUAUUCAUCCGAUCUUCACCAAACUUGGUCAGUAGUUGCAUCUAGUUGAUAUCUAGGUCAAGUCCGAAUAUGGGUCAUGCUGGGUCAAAAACUAGGUCAAAGGGUCAAUUAGUGCAUUUUACUUUGUCCGGACUCUAAUUCAAAUUGUAUAAAUCUUAUCUUCACCAAACUUGGUCAGUAGUUGCAUCUAGUUGAUAUCUAGGCCAAGUUCGAAUAUGGGUCAUGCCAGGUAAAAAACUAGGUCAUAGGGUCAAUUAGUCCAUUUUCAACAGCGCCACUUUGUCCGGACUCUUAUUCAAAUUGUAUUCAUCCAAUCUUUACCAAACUUGGUCAGUAGUUGCAUCUAGUUGAUAUCUAGGUCAAGUUCGAAUAUGGGUCAUGUCGGGUCAAUAACUAGGUCAUAGGGUCAAUUAGUGCAUUUUCAACGGCGCCACUUUGUCCGGACUCUAAUUCAAAUUGUAUUCAUCCGAAACUUUUAAACAACUUUUUAUCCUGCGUCAAAGUGGUAUGGGGGUAUAAGUCACAUUCAGUGACAAAGCUCUAGUUCAAGUUGAAUUCACCAAACUUGGUCAGAGGUAGUAUAUAGAUUAUAUAUCAGUCAGGUCUGAUUGGAGACAUGCAACCGAUUAACACAUGCAAUAUUUUUAUGCAAUAUUUUUAUCCAGUUUUAUUUUGCGAUAUUUUCAUCGGGUUUAUUUUUUUCGCGAUUUUUGAAACGAGUUAUUUUUAACAACAUGUUUAUUGGUAAGUUUCAUU